AAGCUGAAGGAUAGUGAGAAGGACGAAAAGGACGACGCGAAAGCGAAAGCAUAGACUGUAUAUUGCACAUGCACCCCGUUCCAUACGAGUAUUUCUCUUUCUUUUCAUUCUUUUACUCUUUUUACCUUUUUUUUUUUGUUCUCCCCUGAUC
rnacentral:ribozyme from 1 species